AUCCUUUCGUAGUUCAUAAGCAUGAUGAUUGGGUUUUCAUGCACAUGGGUGAGAUGUGCCUCCCACAAGUCUUGUCACGACGUGGGCAUAUUACCUGUGUGACA